rnacentral:rRNA from 1 species
CAGUCGCCGCGGUAAUACGAAGGGGGCUAGCGUUGCUCGGAAUCACUGGGCGUAAAGGGUGCGUAGGCGGGUUUUUAAGUCAGGGGUGAAAUCCUGGAGCUCAACUCCAGAACUGCCCUUGAUACUGGGAAUCUUGAGUAUGGGAGAGGUGAGUGGAACUGCGAGUGUAGAGGUGAAAUUCGUAGAUAUUCGGCGGAACACCAGUGGCGAAGGCGACUUACUGGUCCGAUACUGACGCUGAGGCGCGAAAGCGUGGAGAGCGAACAGGAUUAGAUACCCCAGUAGUCCCUGUCUCUUAUAA